CUACGGGGCGCUGCAGUGGGGAAUAUUGGACAAUGGGGGAAACCCUGAUCCAGCAAUGCCGCGUGUGUGAAGAAGGCCUGCGGGUUGUAAAGCACUUUCGGUUGGGAGGACUGCUUCUAGCACUAAUAUUGUUGGAAGUUGACGUUACCUUCAGAAGAAGCACCGGCAACUCCGUGCCAGCAGCCGCGGUAAUACGGAGGGUGCAAGCGUUAAUCGGAAUUACUGGGCGUAAAGCGCGCGUAGGCGGCUAGAUCAGUCGGGUGUGAAAGCCCCGGGCUUAACCUGGGAACUGCAUCCGAUACUGUCUAGCUUGAGUACAGGAGAGGAGAGUGGAAUUCCACAUGUAGCGGCGAAAUGCGUAGAUAUGUGGAGGAACACCAAUGGCGAAGGCAGCUCUCUGGCCUGAUACUGACGCUGAGGUGCGAAAGCGUGGGGAACAAACAGGAUUAGAUACCCUCGUAGUC
rnacentral:rRNA from 1 species